rnacentral:rRNA from 1 species
UCCGACGGUGAGGGAUGAAGGCUGGGGGCGCAAACCGGAUUAGAUACCCGGGUAGUCCCAGCAGUAAACGAUGCCAGCUAUGUGUUGCUGAAACCAUGGGUUCCAGCAGUGCCGAAGGGAAGCCGUGAAGCUGGCCACCUGGGAAGUACGGUCGCAAGGCUGAAACUUAAAGGAAUUGGCGGGGGAGUACCACAACCGGUGGAGCCUGCGGUUUAAUUGGAUACAACGCCGGGAAUCUUACCGGAGGGGACAGCAGUAUGAAGGCCAGGCUAAAGACCUUGCCAGAUCAGCUGAGAGGAGGUGCAUGGCCGUCGCCAGUUCGUACCGUGAGGCAUCCUGUUUAGUCAGGCAACGAUCGAGACCCGCAGUCUUAUUUGCCAGCAUGCCCUUUGGGGUGUAUGGGUACAAUAAGACGACCGCCAGCGCUAAGCUGGAGGAAGGAGCGGGCUACGGUAGGUCAGCAUGCCCCGAAUCCUCCGGGAUACACGCGGGCUACAAUGGUCAGGACAAAAGGUACCGACCUCGAAAGAGUGAGGUAAUCCACAAACCUGAUCUCAGUCCGGAUCGAAGGCUGCAACUCGCCUUCGUGAAGAUGGAAUCGGUAGUAAUCGUGACUCAAAAUGUCACGGUGAAUAUGUCCCUGCUCCUUGCACACACCGACCG